UACGGGGGGGGCAAGCGUUGUUCGGAAUUACUGGGCGUAAAGGGCGCGUAGGCGGCCUGCUAAGUCGGAUGUGAAAUCCCUCGGCUCAACCGGGGAACUGCAUCCGAUACUGGUGGGCUUGAAUCCGGGAGAGGGAUGUGGAAUUCCAGGUGUAGCGGUGAAAUGCGUAGAUAUCUGGAGGAACACCGGUGGCGAAGGCGGCAUCCUGGACCGGUAUUGACGCUGAGGCGCGAAAGCCAGGGGAGCAAACGGG
rnacentral:rRNA from 1 species